GAAGUGCAAUGGAUAGUGCGCUUUGGACUUCUAAUCCAAAGGUCGUUGGCUCGAUUCCUAUCUGGAUUG